UUUUUUUUUUCUUAUAGAAACGGGAUUUUAAAAUAGCGAACGCAUUCUUGACAACUUGUCCGCGAUCGUCACAUUACUGAUACAUUUAAUUACGAAAACGACUUUUUUUUUUUAACGUCUUAGUAAUGUAGCGAUCAAUUAUCACCUGGAACGUAGUUACACAUUUCUAUUACCGGGAUGGUCGGAUUGCGAUAUUUGUACGACUGUAUAGAAACUAUCGGUCGAAUAGUACGGGCCGAAAAAGCGUUCUAACUGCACUUAGGUUGAGAAAAUCACG